GGACGAAUAGCUCCAAUUGGCAGAGCAUUGCGUUGAAGCCGCAACAGUGCCGGUUCGAACCCGGCUUCGUCCA
rnacentral:tRNA from 1 species